CCACAGGAGAAAUUUCCACCUCGGGGGCCUUCACGGGUCACUCUGCGCUCUGCGACCUCCUCCUUCAAUCCUCUGCCCCUCCUCUUUCUAACUACACUUUAGUCACUUUGAAGGGGCUUGGAGGCACAACAGGAAGUCAUUCUACUGUGAGAGUCCGGCUCAAGUCACUUGCCAAGCCACCGUGAAAUCCCAUGUUUUUAGGGGAUUCUACGCUUUCCAUGCUUUCCCACCCAAAAAUCUGUAGCACUGAUUCCUGUCGCGGUGCUGAGGCAGGAGAGGGUCAGACUAGGUCAGAAGCACUUCCUCUUCUGUAUGCACCCAUUGCCCCUUCCUUUGACACACAACUUCAGAGCUGGGAAGAACUUUGGAAAUUACCUCCUCCAGUCCUCUUCUCUAACAGCCCAGGAAAAUGAGCAUAGGAAAACUAACUUUCUGAAUAUUGCCUAGUUAAGAGACCUGUGCUCUGCUAGACCUUUCUCAGCAGGGCAGUCUGCCCUUAGUGUGGUAGGAAAAACCAGGAGGGCAGUAGUCAUAAUGCAGGCAGGAGCUCAUUGCCAUUUUGAAUGGGCAUGGACUGCUCUAGUAGGACACCAAGUCUAGCCAAAGUUGCCCACGGAAACCACCCACCACUGCUUGCUUUGCCUGAAAGAACACAAGGGCUGGGAGACAGCUGCCUCCGAUUUUACUUCUGGCCUUAGAAAGGUUCCAGUUAAUUUCACUUAACAUAGUUGUGCAGGCUCUUCCAGGAAAAUUUUGGCUUUUUCUUUGUAGAAUCCUCAGUCCUUCAGAAAUAUUAGAUUUCUAAACAGAUGAUUCUGCAUAUACAUCACCCUCUUUUUUUGUUAUUUAAUUCCUAUUAUAAAACACAAGGGCUGCUACUGGUCUUACGUUUAAUUUAGCACAUUUUAUUUUAUUAGAUUUCUAUGGCUUCCUGUUACAGGUGUUUGUGUGAGAUUCUGUGGGGAGGUCCGGGUUGACUUUAAAGAACUCAUUGGGUUAGUUGGCUGAGAACCACUGGCCUUUGUUGGCUGCCAAGAAGACGCAUGGGAGGACCAUUUGAAAGCGCCUACUUCUCCAAGGUACACCAAACAAACUUGAUUUCUAGAAACAAAGGUGAAAUAUCUCUACAGUCAAAUGCAUCUGUUAUUCGUCUGCAAACCUCUCAGCCCUUUGCUUGACAAAUGUUUGCUGUUACUUCGUUUCUUCUCUCACUCUGUCUCUCUUAAAGAAGAUAUAAAUCAAACUGCCUGGGUAACCUUGGCCUUACAAAGCUUCUCAAUGAUUUCCAGCAAGACAACAGUCAAGAAGUUUCUCUGAAGAUAGUCUAAACAAUUUCAGAUUAAAAGAACUAAAAAUACUUUAAAGCUACUCAAAUGUUAAUCUUAGCACAAGUUUUAUUGUUGUGGCUCUUCAUAUCUCAUCAAACAUUCAAAGAGUAA